rnacentral:tRNA from 1 species
ACACAUGUAGCUUAGUGGAUAAAAUGUUUGUUUCCUAAACAUGAGGUUACUAGUUCGACCCCUGUCUAGCAUA